rnacentral:lncRNA from 10 species
GCAAGCUUGGCUUAUAGCCAGUGCUGUGUAUGCAGCCAUAUAGUGAAUGCCUUCAUUUGCACCCUGAACUCUGAAUAGUCACUUUUAAAACAUCCAUCUGUCAUCCAUCUAGUGAGGUCAGGAGAGUGGCUGCUUAACUUCUGGGGGUUGCAGAAAAGGAAGAAGAAUCAGCAGAGAGCAUUUGUGGCCAGCAAAGCUUAAAAUAUUUCCUAACCGAUCCUUUGCAAAAAAAGUUCACCCACUCCUGUAGUCAGCAGCUCCCCUACUGUGCGCAGUCAGUGUGCCAUCUCAGACUAGCAAAGGUGAGUAAAACCAUCCCUGCCCCUAAUCAAUUUACAAUCUGCAUCCUCAGGGCAAGAGCCUAGUAAGCAAAAGGCAAAAUAAGAUGGCGCCAGAUAAGGGCUUCAAAGGAAGAGAGACCAGGUUUGGUGGGGAAAUAGGGGGUGGCUUCUUAGCAGGUUUUCUUUAGAUGAACCUUGAAGAUAAAAAGAGAUUUUGAUGAAUAAGGGUGGGUGAGAUGCAGAGGGGGUCAGCGCUGUGUCCUGGAACCAGUGAGUGAUUCCAUUUCAGAAGCACCCGGGGAGGCUAAAGGGUAGAUUCUAAGGCCAGAAAGAGAGGAGAAGGUCGUAGGCUGGAGACCAUGAUGAGGAGUGUAUACAGAGGGAGAGAGGAGAGAUUCCUGCACUUAGAGGCCAAAAGGACAACAAUUUGCACUUUUACUUUGGUGUCGGAAAGAACCGUAGUCUCAUAUGGUUACACGGAAGUGUUUUAUGAUAAUCAGUGAAAAAUGAGGAAAAUAGUCUCUCUUAGGCUGAGCACCUAGGAAAUGAGUGGCUCUUGGCUGUAAGUCAAUGAACAGCAUUAAUAUAUGCAGUUACCAAGUCAUCAUUAACACAUAAAGCACUGCAGGGUUUCAAUCGAUUCAUCAGAAUUCUUGAAAGUCCUAUUUUAAGGCAGUUCAAACAGAGGCGAGGCAGCUGAACCUGGUGAGGCUGCCAGGAACAGCGAGUUCUGCCUCUGAAUUUGCUCCUGACUCAGUGCCUGACCUUGGGCAAGCACUCAACGUCUCACUAUCUCAGUUUCCUCAGCCAUAAAAUGGGGAUAACAGACCUUAGCCACCUCAUAGGAGUGUCAUAAAUGUCUGCAAAAACCUUUCAAGGUAAGUGCUCCUGGAAACGGACAAGGUGGGGAGGGUUCUUUUUCAAUCGUCUAGGCGGGAAAAUGAGGUUAUCAAAAUUAAAAUAGGAGACUACUUUGUGAAACAGAAAUGAUUGUGGAUAAAUGAUGCAAAGCCGACAGAUGAUUAAAGGUACCCAUAGUCUACCAGUUAAAAUCUCUGUCAGGAUUUUCUAAAUUAACGUCAGGACAUCUUCUUUGUUGUUGUUUAAGGAUGGAAGAGAAUAUUAAAAAUCAGACAGGACCACCUUAGGGUAUGUGGUCUCACAUAUCUGUUCUAUUUGCUUUUUCGAAGCUUAGAAUAUUCUGCUCAAUUCUCUGGGUAUUACUCAGUUAUAAAGGUGCAGAGGGAUGCAUCUCCUUCUGCACUUUCUUUACUCUGUAGAUUUUCCUAAUCUGUCCUAGAGAGGGACUGUGGCAGGGUCUGCAGACAGAAGGGCUGCCUUGUAGCCAGCCAUCUUUGUAUGACCUCUGCCAUUGGCCGUUGGUGGCCGAGAAAGACACUGAAGUCUCUCGAGAAAGCUGAAGACCCAACCCUGAGAUGUACCCACACUGCACCUGGAGCAGACAAUUGGGCUAGAAGACAAGUUCUGCUCUGCUCUGGAAAGUUUGUCCAGAGAGGAAAGACAGGCCAAAAUAGUUCAGUAUGCUGUCUUACUGGGAGGACAACAGCUUAAGCCACAAAGCCCUGAGUUUGACCCUAGAACUCUGUGGCUACUGGUGACUCAUCUUGAAAAUUAUCAGAUUGAAUCUUCUCUACCGGUUUGAUAACAACUGAUGAGUGGAAAAAGAACGCCAAUCAAAUGUGCAUGCUUAAUAAGCAGCCUCCUUAUUCCCCUCUGCAGAUUUGUGCUUGGAUCAUCUACACUUCCCUGAAUGUUGAAGAAGAUAUGCUAUCCAUGCAAUCCUUGUCGACUGCUUGAUUAAAAAGUGGAUAAACUGUCUUCAGGCCCUUGGAGUAUGGUGUCUGUGUGAAGAAGGGAAUGAGGCAGAAGUAGCAGUCAGUGGUGGCUGAAGUAGGAGAAAGUGCUUGCUAAUGAAAUCUUGAUUUUUCUGUGGCUUUUCUGUGCAAUUGGGUGGCUAAGUAGGAAAGCCAUUGGAGCUUCACUGUAUCAAUUCUGCCUUUCUUGUUUUUUGGAACUCCAAUUCACCAAGGCUCCCUGCCACCCUAUCCAUCUAUAACUUUUCAUCACUUUUUCCUCAAAGUAAGAAGUGUGUCCCAGAAAAUGUGCCUUUGUGACUCAGCAACAUUUCAAAUCCAUCUGAGCCUUCCCAGCGUUCCAAAAGAAAUACUGAUUUGAAUUCAGCUGCUUAAAAAACCAGUCUCUAAGCAGACAGCUUGAAACUUCCUUACAGCAAUAGUUUAGGCUUUGGAGGGGAAAUUGGUUUGUUUUUAAUUGUUUUAAUUUUUCAUUCAAUUCAUUUGCCGCCUGAUUAUAUAUGAUCUUUUGAGCCCAAUACUCUGCUAAAUUAACCUUGACUUUCUUUCUCUCUUUCUCUCUCUCUCCUUCUCUCUUUCUUCCUUUCUUUCUUUCUUUUUGACAGAGCCUUGCUCUGUCGCCCAGGCUGGAAUGCAGUGGCACAAUCUCAGCUCACUGUAAACUCCGCCUCCAAAGUUCAAGCAAUUCUCCUGCCUCAGCCUCCUGUGUAGCUGGGAUUACACACGCCAGCCACCAUGCCUGGCUAAUUUUUGUAUUUUUAGUAAAGAUGGAGUUUCACCCUCUUGGCCAAGCUGGUCUCGAACUCCUGACCUCAACCUUGGCCUCUCAAAGUGCUGGGAUUACAAGCAUGAGCCACCAUGCCUGGCCUUACCUUGAUUUUUUUUUUUUGAGACAGAGUCUCACUCUGUUGCUCAGGCUGGAGUGUAGUGGCUCGAUCUUGGCUCACUGCAACCUCCAUCUCCCGGGUUCAAGAGAUUCUCCUGCCUCAGCCUCCCAAGUAGCUGGGACUACAGGUGUGGGCCACCACGCCUAGCUAAUUUUUUAUAUGUUUACUAGAGACAGGGUUUCACCAUGUUGGGCAGGCUGGUCUUGAACUCCUGACCUCAGGUGAUUCACCUGCCUCGGCCUCCCAAAAUGCUGGGAUUACAGGUGUGAGCCACCACACCCGGCCCCUACCUUUGAUUUUUAAGUCAAGAGGGAACAAGUCGAAAUUUCUAUUCAGGUAAACUGUAUACCUUUGGACACUGAAUCACUUUUAGAACCCCAGUAAAAAUCAUGUAUGAAUGACCCACAAUUUCACUCCAACAGGAAGGUGUGUAUAUGUGCACAAAAACAUUAGAUUGUUCACACCGGUGCUAUUCAUAAUAGUCAAAAACUGGAAACAACUCAAACAUCCAUCAACUGUAGAAUGGAUAAAUAAAUCAUGAUAUAUUCAUACCAUGGAACAUAACAGUGACAAUAAAUGAACCACUGCUACACACAACAGAUAUGAAUUUCACAAACAGAAUGCUGAGCAACAGAAGCCAAACACAGAAGGAUACACAUUUAUAAAUCCAUUUGUAUGAAGUUCAUAAACAGACAAAAUUAGUCAGUGGAGAUUAUUCUCAUAGAAGUCUGAAGGGUAGUUGUCUUUAGGGAGGGGGAUAUAGUGACUGAGGUGGGUAUAAGGGGUUUCUGGGGUUUGGUGAUGGUACACCAGCAUAUUCACUCUGAAAACUCAUUGAGCUGUGCAAUAAUGAUUUUUCAAACUUUUAUAUGUGUAUGAUAAUGCUUCAAUAAAGCUUUGCUUAAAAACACGCAUAGUCAUUGCUAUGGUGUGAAUGUUUGUGUGCCCCCGUUCACCAAAUUCAUAGGUUGAAAUCCUAACCCCCAAGGUGAUGAUAUUAGGAGU